AUUGAACGCUAGCGAUAGGCUUAACACAUGCAAGUCGAGGGGCAGCAGGACAAUAGCAAUAUUGUUGUUGGCGACAGGCGCACGGGUGAGUAACGCGUAUGCAACCUACCUACAACAAGGGGAUAGCCCGGCGAAAGUCGGAUUAAUACCGUAUAACACAGGGAUCCCGCAUGGGAAUAUUUGUUAAAGAUUUAUCGGUUGUAGAUGGGCAUGCGUAACAUUAGCUUGUUGGUGAGGUAACGGCUCACCAAGGCUACGAUGUUUAGGGGUUCUGGGAGGAAGGUCCCCCACACUGGUACUGAGACACGGACCAGACUCCUACGGGAGGCAGCAGUGAGGAAUAUUGGUCAAUGGGCGAGAGCCUGAACCAGCCAAAUCGCGUGAAGGAUGAAGGUAUUCUGUAUUGUAAACUUCUUUUAUACGGGAAUAAAGUGCAUCACGUGUGAUGUUUUGUAUGUACCGUACGAAUAAGCACCGGCUAACUCCGUGCCAGCCGCCGCCGUAAGAC
rnacentral:rRNA from 1 species